AGUAAAGUCAGCUAAUUAAGCUCUUGGGCCCAUACCCCAAACAUGUUGGUUAAACUCCUUCCUUUACUA
rnacentral:tRNA from 2 species